rnacentral:rRNA from 1 species
UAACGCGAAGAACCUUACCUACCCUUGACAUGUCAGAGAAGCUUUUGUAAUGAGAGUGUGCCCGCAAGGGCGUCUGAACACAGGUGCUGCAUGGCUGUCGUCAGCUCGUGUCGUGAGAUGUUGGGUUAAGUCCCGCAACGAGCGCAACCCUUGUCACUAGUUGCUACGAAAGGGCACUCUAGUGAGACUGCCGGUGACAAACCGGAGGAGGGUGGGGAUGACGUCAAGUCCUCAUGGCCCUUAUGGGUAGGGCUUCACACGUCAUACAAUGGUCGGAACAGAGGGCAGCCAACCCGCGAGGGGGAGCAAAUCCCAGAAAACCGAUCGUAGUCCGGAUUGCAGUCUGCAACUCGACUGCAUGAAGUCGGAAUCGCUAGUAAU